rnacentral:rRNA from 1 species
AGAUUGAACGCUGGCGGCAGGCCUAACACAUGCAAGUCGAGCGGCAGCACGGGUACUUGUACCUGGUGGCGAGCGGCGGACGGGUGAGUAAUGCCUAGGAAUCUGCCUGGUAGUGGGGGAUAACGCUCGGAAACGGACGCUAAUACCGCAUACGUCCUACGGGAGAAAGCAGGGGACCUUCGGGCCUUGCGCUAUCAGAUGAGCCUAGGUCGGAUUAGCUAGUUGGUGAGGUAAUGGCUCACCAAGGCGACGAUCCGUAACUGGUCUGAGAGGAUGAUCAGUCACUACGUGGAACUGAGACACGGUCCAGACCUCCGUACGGGAGCAG